AUCAUUAUCGAGUUUACAACUCCCAAACCAUUGUGAAUUUUACCUUUUCGUUGCUUCGGCAGGAUUGCCCCGGGCGCUUCGGUGCCCCGGAUUCAGGCGCCUGCCGGGGGACCUAAACUCUUGUAUUAUAGUGAAUUUCUGAGUGGAUUACACAAAUAAUCAAAACUUUCAACAACGGAUCUCUUGGUUCUGGCAUCGAUGAAGAACGCAGCGAAAUGCGAUAAGUAAUGCGAAUUGCAGAAUUCAGUGAGUCAUCGAAUCUUUGAACGCACAUUGCGCCCUUUAGUAUUCUGAGGGGCAUGCCUGUUCGAGCGUCAUUACAACCCUCAAGCUCUGCUUGGUGUUGGGCCCCGCCGCCCCGGCGGGCCCUAAAAUCAGUGGCGGUGCCGUCCGGCUCCGAGCGUAGUAAUUCUUCUCGCUCUGGAGGUCCGGGUGUGUGCUCGCCAGCAACCCCCAAUUUUUUUCAGGUUGACC
rnacentral:rRNA from 1 species